rnacentral:rRNA from 1 species
GACGAACGCUGGCGGCGUGCUUAACACAUGCAAGUCGAGCGGAAAGGCUCCUUCGGGGGUACUCGAGCGGCGAACGGGUGAGUAACACGUGAGUAAUCUGCCCUCCACUCUGGGAUAACGUUCAGAAAUGGGUGCUAAUACCGGAUGUACACAGGCUGACGCAUGUUGGUGUGUGGAAAGGUUCUUCUGGUGGGGGAUGUGCUCGCGGCCUAUCAGCUUGUUGGUGGGGUAAUGGCCUACCAAGGCUUUGACGGGUAGCCGGCCUGAGAGGGUGACCGGCCACACUGGGACUGAGACACGGCCCAGACACCUACGGGUGGCAG